rnacentral:rRNA from 1 species
AGAGUUUGAUCCUGGCUCAGGAUGAACGCUAGCGGCAGGCUUAACACAUGCAAGUCGAGGGGUAACAGGAGAAAGCUUGCUUUUAUGCUGACGACCGGCGUUGCGUAACGCGUAUACAAUCUACCUCUUACUGAGGGAUAGCCCAGAGAAAUUUGGAUUAAUACCUCAUAGUAUGUUGAUUUGGCAUCAGAUUAACAUUAAAGGUUACGGUAAGAGAUGAGUAUGCGUUCUAUUAGCUAGUAGGUAUGGUAACGGCAUACCUAGGCGACGAUAGAUAGGGGCCCUGAGAGGGGGAUCCCCCACACUGGUACUGAGACACGGACCAGACUCCUACGGGAGGCAGCAGUGAGGAAUAUUGGUCAAUGGAGGCAACUCUGAACCAGCCAUGCCGCGUGCAGGAAGACUGCCCUAUGGGUUGUAAACUGCUUUUAUACAGGAAGAAACACUCUCACGUGUGAGAGCUUGACGGUACUGUAAGAAUAAGGAUCGGCUAACUCCGUGCCAGCAGCCGCGGUAAUACGGAGGAUCCAAGCGUUAUCCGGAAUCAUUGGGUUUAAAGGGUCCGUAGGUGGAUUAGUAAGUCAGAGGUGAAAUCCUGCAGCUCAACUGUAGAACUGCCUUUGAUACUGCUAGUCUUGAGUCAUUAUGAAGUGGUUAGAAUGUGUAGUGUAGCGGUGA